rnacentral:lncRNA from 1 species
CUCUCUCUCUCUCUCUCUCUCUCUGCAUGCUGCUUUUCAGCAAAAUGUAAAUGUUUUCCUCAAACUCAUUCUUCAGAGCCCCUCAGUACUGCGUCAGCACCACUGACUGCGCCACUUUUCCCAAAUGGAAUUGACUGACCCAAUGGAUAAACCGUCCAACUAACAACCUACACAAAGUCGAUUUUUCAAUUCCAGUCUCUACAAACAGAAGUACCAAUCUAGAAGAACCCAGUUCUGCCUGGCUCCAGGAGCAGACCCGGAACUACGUCUACCACUACGGAGAAGCAAAGAGAAGACAGAGAAAAGCAGACAGCACGCAUGCGCGGGAUGGUUACGUACACUCUCCUGAGAAGGCUGAAAACUGCCCCCUCAAUAAUAAUCCAUCUCCACCGCCCCAAGCUGGAAUGAACCGAGCACCCUGAACAAGGAGCGGUGAGACCUUGCCAGCCCAUCACUGGCUGAACUAACUCAUUGGAGAAAUUAUGUCUUCAAGAAAUCAGUUACACCAAGGAUUCCACACCCGUCAAGGCAGCCAAGAAUCCCAUUCCUUGGACACAAUAAUAAUUAAAAUGUAGCUCCCCCAUGAUGUAUGACUCAAACAUGGCUGGAUUUUAAUGACAUAUAAUCCAGAAUAGUUGCAUUAAAGGUAUUCAGGGUAACAAGGCUACAGCAACUGAUUCUUCAGAAACUCCUAGCGCCCAGAGGCACUGGCUUGUACGUCUUCAUGAUCUAUGUUUCUGCCGAGGCUUAAACUCAAAGCCAGAAGACGGCAGCAGUUUAAAGUGUGGGUUCAUGAAGAAUCUAAGCAGCAGUUAAGCUGGUGAACGCUCUGAAAAUUGUUUGGCCCUUUGGAGCGUCUGUACAUAAUAGAGUUCUCAUCUCUCCGGAGAACAACUCGACAUGAAGCCGAGGGGAUCUCAGGCUGCAGCAGAAGCUACUGGGAAUUACCAAAUUACCUAAAAUUAAUGGGAUGUGGCUCUUGGUAAUGAAUAAAUUUAUAGCU